rnacentral:tRNA from 1 species
GGCUGCGUAGCUCAGUUGGCUUCAGAGCGUUUCCCUCAUAAGGAAAAGGGCAGCGGUUCGAUUCCGCUCGCAGCUACCA